rnacentral:rRNA from 1 species
GGACGAACGCUGGCGGCGUGGAUUAGGCAUGCAAGUCGGACGGUAGGGCUUUAUCGUAAGAUAGAGUUUGAGAGUGGCGAACGGGUGAGUAACACGUAGGAAUCUACCCUUAAGACGGGGACAACCCAGGGAAACUUGGGCUAAUACCGGAUGAGAGUGCGAGAGAUUGCAUUUAAAAGGAUGGCGAAAGUUGUCGCUUAGGGAUGAGCCUGCGGUCUAUUAGUUAGUUGGUGAGGUAAGAGCUCACCAAGGCGAUGAUAGAUAGGCGGCCUUAACGGGUGGUCGCCCACACUGGGAUUGAGAUACGGCCCAGACUCCUACGGGAGGCAGCAGUCGAGAAUAGUCUACAAUGGCCGGAAGGCUGAUAGUGCGACGCCGCGUGAACGAGGGAGCCCUUCGGGGUGUAAAGUUCUUUUCUAUACGAGCAGUGCUAUAUAUAUGGAUAGUAUAUAUAGAGGGAUAGUAGUAUAGGAAUAAGCAACGGCUAACUCCGUGCCAGCAGCCGCGGUAACACGGGGGUUGCGAGCGUUGUCCGGAAUUACUAGGCGUAAAGGGCAGGUAGGCGGAUCUACGAGUUUUUUGUUAAAGGCUACGGCUCAACUGUAGUAGAGCAGGAGAUACUGUAGGUCUGGAAUGCGGUAGGGGAAGACAGAAUUCCUGGUGUAGCGGUGGAAUGCGCAGAGAUCAGGAGGAAUACCGAAGGCGAAGGCAGUCUUCUAGGCCGUAAUUGACGCUUAACUGCGAAGGUGUGGGGAUCAAACAGGAUUAGAUACCCUGGUAGUCCACACAGUAAACGAUAAUCACUAGAUGUCGGGUUCUAUAUGGAUUCGGUGUCGGAGCUAACGCGAUAAGUGAUUCGCCUGGGGAGUACGAUCGCAAGGUUGAAACUCAAAGGAAUUGACGGGUCCCCGCACAAGCAGCGGAGCGUGUGGUUUAAUUCGAUGCUACACGAAGAACCUUACCUGGGUUUGACAUAGAGGUAGUAGGGAAGCGAAAGCGGACCGACCCUUCGGGGAGCCUCUACAGGUGUUGCAUGGCUGUCGUCAGCUCGUGUCGUGAGAUGUUCGGUUAAGUCCGCUAACGAGCGCAACCCUCGCUGUGUGUUACAAGUGUCACACGGUACUGCCGAUAUUAAGUCGGAGGAAGGUGGGGAUGACGUCAAGUCAGCAUGACCUUUAUAUCCAGGGCUACACACACGCUACAAUGGCCAGUACAAUGGGUUGCCAAGCCGCGAGGCGGAGCCAAUCCUAAAAAGCUGGCCUCAGUUCAGAUUGUAGUCUGCAACUCGACUGCAUGAAGUUGGAGUUGCUAGUAACCGCAGGUCAGCAAUACUGCGGUGAAUACGUUCCCGGGGAU